UACGGAGGGAGCUAGCGUUAUUCGGAAUUACUGGGCGUAAAGCGCACGUAGGCGGCUUUGUAAGUAAGAGGUGAAAGCCCAGAGCUCAACUCUGGAAUUGCCUUUUAGACUGCAUCGCUUGAAUCAUGGAGAGGUCAGUGGAAUUCCGAGUGUAGAGGUGAAAUUCGUAGAUAUUCGGAAGAACACCAGUGGCGAAGGCGGCUGACUGGACAUGUAUUGACGCUGAGGUGCAAAAGCGUGGGGAGCAAACAGG
rnacentral:rRNA from 1 species